GGGCCCGUAGUUCAGUUGGCUAGAACGCUUGGCUGGCAGUCAAGAGAUCAGGGGUUCGAGUCCCCUCGGGUCCA
rnacentral:tRNA from 1 species